GCUGUGGAGGUUUUGUGGAAUAAGAACGCCACCUGACGCGGCGGCAGUAUUGAUGGCCAUCGAGACAGACUGGUCAUUCAGUUCUUCAGCU
rnacentral:tRNA from 1 species